rnacentral:lncRNA from 1 species
UAUAGAUAUUUUACUGAGUUUUAGCUACAUCUCAAAAAUGCGUUGAGUGUUUGGGGCUGAUGUGUCAUGUGACAUAAUUUAUCCCAUUCAAAAUAAUAGGAAGUCAAUUAUCAGUUAGCUUGCUUGCACAGAUCAUAAGAUUUUUAGAAGCAGAUGCUGAUACGAAGAAGGGGGGUUUUUUUCCCCUCAACAAGUAGAUAUUUUGUUAUUGGGGAAGAGCUGUAAUAAGGACUCUUAUUCACUUAAAGUUAACUGGAGAACAAAAGGAGACUGUGUGAGAAGGAUCCUGGGAACUUCCAGGGAACAGCCACUCCCAGGAAGGAGCAUGAGGCAGUCAGGCCUUGGGAGCAGCGCAAACCCAGGAGUCAGUCUGCAUCCUGCCUUCCACUGCCUCUUCUCAGGUUUUGCUUCUGGAAAAUAA